rnacentral:rRNA from 1 species
UUUAUUGGAGAGUUUGAUCCUGGCUCAGGAUGAACGCUGGCGGCGUGCCUAAUACAUGCAAGUCGAGCGAAUGGAUUAAGAGCUUGCUCUUAUGAAGUUAGCGGCGGACGGGUGAGUAACACGUGGGUAACCUGCCCAUAAGACUGGGAUAACUCCGGGAAACCGGGGCUAAUACCGGAUAACAUUUUGAACCGCAUGGUUCGAAAUUGAAAGGCGGCUUCGGCUGUCACUUAUGGAUGGACCCGCGUCGC